UGAGGAAUAUUGGUCAAUGGACGGAAGUCUGAACCAGCCAUGCCGCGUGAAGGAUGAAGGCGUUCUGCGUUGUAAACUUCUUUUAUCUGGGAAGAAACCACAGAUUUCUAUUUGUGUUGACGGUACCAGAGGAAUAAGCACCGGCUAACUCCGUGCCAGCAGCCGCGGUAAUACGGAGGGUGCAAGCGUUAUCCGGAUUCAUUGGGUUUAAAGGGUGCGUAGGCGGGCUUGUAAGUCAGUGGUGAAAUCUCUCAGCUUAACUGAGAAACUGCCAUUGAUACUGCAGGCCUAGAGUAUAGAUGACGUUGGCGGAAUAUGACAUGUAGUGGUGAAAUACUUAGAUAUGUCAUAGAACACCGAUUGCGAAGGCAGCUAACGAGACUAUAACUGACGCUGAGGCACGAAAGUGCGGGGAUCAAACA
rnacentral:rRNA from 1 species